UGGACAGAUUAUUGUAUUCGACUGUAUUCACGGCAUGAAAUAGGGGAUUAUACUGUUUUUAAAACGGAAAGUGAAUCAAUUAACAUAAUAGACUCCU
rnacentral:pre_miRNA from 1 species